rnacentral:rRNA from 1 species
GACGUAGGGGGCGAGCGUUGUCCGGAUUUAUUGGGCGUAAAGAGCUCGUAGGCGGUUGGGCAAGUCACGUGUGAAAUCUCCACGCUCAACGUGGAGGCGCCACGUGAGACUGCUCUGACUCGAGUCCGGUAGGGGAGCGUGGAAUUCCCGGUGUAGCGGUGAAAUGCGCAGAGAUCGGGAGGAACACCCGUAGCGAAGGCGGCGCUCUGGGCCGGUACUGACGCUGAGGAGCGAAAGCGUGGGGAGCAAACAGG